UGAGACAUUCAUUUCAAAUAACAAAGUCGGUGUCAUAAUCCCCAGUGCUGUGUAUCAUUACGGAAACAAAUCCACUCGACUCUCUCUACUCGAAACCUCUCCCAGGGUUACUGUUUCACCAAACACCCCGACCCCAUGUGUAUCAGAGUGGAGUGUUAGCUGGAAGCUGAUGUUGAGUGUGUGUGCUGUGUGUGUUCUCCUCUCCUCACUCCUCUCCUCCAUCUGUGUGUACUGCCUCUGCACAAACACCACUAAAGCAAAAUUCGAACCUGAUCUGGCAGGAAGUCACAAAAGGACGACUCGGAGAUGUGAUGAGGUUGGAGACGAUGAGGUUUGUUAUGCCUCGUUGGACAUCCAGAACCUCAAGAAGAAGACGAAGAGGAAGAAGAGAGUUCAGCACUCUGAUUUUAGCACGUAUUCAGAGGUGAGAACUGAGAGAUCCUGAGGAGGAGGAGUUAAUGAAUUGUGAAAUUUGUAUUAGAUCACAGUGUAUUAUUUUAAUAAACUCUUUUUACAUUUAAUUGACA